UCACCUUUCUCUGCCUUUCGGCUAAGGUCGAGUGCUGUGUCUGUUCUUAUUAGUUUAAUAUCUGAGACGUGGCCAUCGGUGAUAUUAAAUUAAUUUUUCUAAGGGAAGGGUCCAAUACAGUAGCUUGCUAGUGGUGCUCUCGCGUGCCGCCUUGGCAUUGCCCUGCUGCCUUGGCCUAGAGCACAUGCA